rnacentral:rRNA from 1 species
GAUGAACGCUAGCUACAGGCUUAACACAUGCAAGUCGAGGGGUAACGAGAGGAAAGCUUGCUUUCCUUGUCGACGACCGGCGCACGGGUGAGUAACGCGUAUCCAACCUGCCCCCAACUAGGGAAUAACCUUGCGAAAGUAAGACUAAUACCCUAUAAUUUCCUCAGAUGACAUCUGACGAGGAAUAAAGAUUUAUCGGUUGUGGAUGGGGAUGCGUCUGAUUAGCGUGUUGGCGGGGUAACGGCCCACCAAGGCAACGAUCAGUAGGGGUUCUGAGAGGAAGGUCCCCCACACUGGAACUGAGACACGGUCCAAACUCCUACGGGAGGCAGCAGUGAGGAAUAUUGGUCAAUGGGCGGAAGCCUGAACCAGCCAAGUAGCGUGCAGGAUGACGGCCCUAUGGGUUGUAAACUGCUUUUAUACAGGAAUAAAGUUAGCCACGUGUGGUUAUUUGUAGGUACUGUAUGAAUAAGGACCGGCUAAUUCCGUGCCAGCCGCCGCGGUAA